rnacentral:rRNA from 1 species
GACGAACGCUGGCGGCGUGCUUAACACAUGCAAGUCGAACGGAAAGGCCCUGCUUUUGUGGGGUGCUCGAGUGGCGAACGGGUGAGUAACACGUGAGUAACCUGCCCUUGACUUUGGGAUAACUUCAGGAAACUGGGGCUAAUACCGGAUAGGAGCUCCUGCUGCAUGGUGGGGGUUGGAAAGUUUCGGCGGUUGGGGAUGGACUCGCGGCUUAUCAGCUUGUUGGUGGGGUAGUGGCUUACCAAGGCCUUGACGGGUAGCCGGCCUGAGAGGGUGACCGGCCACAUUGGGACUGAGAUACGGCCCAGACUCCUACGGGAGGCAGCAGUGGGGAAUAUUGCACAAUGGGCGGAAGCCUGAUGCAGCAACGCCGCGUGCGGGAUGACGGCCUUCGGGUUGUAAACCGCUUUCGCCUGUGACGAAGCGUGAGUGACGGUAAUGGGUAAAGAAGCACCGGCUAACUACGUGCCAGCAGCCGCGGUGAUACGUAGGGUGCGAGCGUUGUCCGGAUUUAUUGGGCGUAAAGGGCUCGUAGGUGGUUGAUCGCGUCGGAAGUGUAAUCUUGGGGCUUAACCCUGAGCGUGCUUUCGAUACGGGUUGACUUGAGGAAGGUAGGGGAGAAUGGAAUUCCUGGUGGAGCGGUGGAAUGCGCAGAUAUCAGGAGGAACACCAGUGGCGAAGGCGGUUCUCUGGGCCUUUCCUGACGCUGAGGAGCGAAAGCGUGGGGAGCGAACAGGCUUAGAUACCCUGGUAGUCCACGCUGUAAACGGUGGGUACUAGGUGUGGGGUCCAUUCCACGGGUUCCGUGCCGUAGCUAACGCUUUAAGUACCCCGCCUGGGGAGUACGGCCGCAAGGCUAAAACUCAAAGGAAUUGACGGGGCCCCGCACAAGCGGCGGAGCAUGCGGAUUAAUUCGAUGCAACGCGUAGAACCUUACCUGGGUUUGACAUGGAUCGGGAGUGCUCAGAGAUGGGUGUGCCUCUUUUGGGGUCGGUUCACAGGUGGUGCAUGGCUGUCGUCAGCUCGUGUCGUGAGAUGUUGGGUUAAGUCCCGCAACGAGCGCAACCCUUGUUCACUGUUGCCAGCACGUUAUGGUGGGGACUCAGUGGAGACCGCCGGGGUCAACUCGGAGGAAGGUGGGGAUGGCGUCAAGUCAUCAUGCCCCUUAUGUCCAGGGCUUCACGCAUGCUACAAUGGCUGGUACAGAGAGUGGCGAGCCUGUGAGGGUGAGCGAAUCUCGGAAAGCCGGUCUCAGUUCGGAUUGGGGUCUGCAACUCGACCUCAUGAAGUCGGAGUCGCUAGUAAUCGCAGAUCAGCAACGCUGCGGUGAAUACGUUCCCGGGGCU